ACGAACGCUUGCGGCGUGCUUAACCCAUGCAAGUCGAACGGAAAGGCCCUGCUUUUGUGGGGUGCUCGAGUGGCGAACGGGUGAGUAACACGUGAGUAACCUGCCCUUGACUUUGGGAUAACUUCAGGAAACUGGGGCUAAUACCGGAUAGGAGCUCCUGCUGCAUGGUGGGGGUUGGAAAGUUUCGGCGGUUGGGGAUGGACUCGCGGCUUAUCAGCUUGUUGGUGGGGUAGUGGCUUACCAAGGCUUUGACGGGUAGCCGGCCUGAGAGGGUGACCGGACACAUUGGGACUGAGAUACGGCCCAGACUCCUACGGGAGGCAGCAGUGGGGAAUAUUGCACAAUGGGCGGAAGCCUGAUGCAGCAACGCCGCGUGCGGGAUGACGGCCUUCGGGUUGUAAACCGCUUUCGCCUGUGACGAAGCGUGAGUGACGGUAAUGGGUAAAGAAGCACCGGCUAACUACGUG
rnacentral:rRNA from 1 species